rnacentral:rRNA from 1 species
AUUGAACGCUGGCGGCAUGCCUUACACAUGCAAGUCGAACGGCAGCACGGGUGCUUGCACCUGGUGGCGAGUGGCGAACGGGUGAGUAAUAUAUCGGAACGUACCUUAUCGUGGGGGAUAACGCAGCGAAAGCUGCGCUAAUACCGCAUACGCCCUGAGGGGGAAAGCGGGGGACCGUAAGGCCUCGCGCGAUUAGAGCGGCCGAUAUCUGAUUAGCUUGUUGGUGGGUAAAGCCCACCAAGGCGACGAUCAGUAGCUGGUCUGAGAGGACGAUCAGCCACACUGGGACUGAGACACGGCCCAGACUCCUACGGGAGGCAGCAGUGGGGAAUUUUGGACAAUGGGCGCAAGCCUGAUCCAGCCAUGCCGCGUGCGGGAUGAAGGCCUUCGGUGUAACCGCUUUGUCAGGGAAGAAACGC